rnacentral:lncRNA from 1 species
AACUAUAGAGAAUGGUUGAUAGCAUGUCUCUUUGUGAUGUUUUUUUUUCGUAUUCUUUGUUACAUGGACAGCAAUGUUAUUCUUGUACUGAGUGUUCAUUGUAAAAAAAACUGAUGGUAUUGGAAUGCUUUGCUUGUGUCUACUCAAAUUUCAGUGAGUGUCUAUUGUAAAAAAACUGAUGGUAUUGGACUGCUUUGCUUAUGUCUACUCAAAUUUCACACUUGUGAAUUACUGAUAGUAUUGCAGUCAUGUUUUCUUUUGAAAUUGCACAUUAUUGUGAAUCACCGAAAGUUUCAUGCUUCUUAAAAGAGAAUAUAUCAACUGAAUGAAGUGGCAUCUUUGUUC